AGUGAACGCUGGCGGUAGGCCUAACACAUGCAAGUCGAACGGCAGCACAGUAAGAGCUUGCUCUUACGGGUGGCGAGUGGCGGACGGGUGAGGAAUACAUCGGAAUCUACUUUUUCGUGGGGGAUAACGUAGGGAAACUUACGCUAAUACCGCAUACGACCUACGGGUGAAAGCAGGGGAUCUUCGGACCUUGCGCGAUUGAAUGAGCCGAUGUCGGAUUAGCUAGUUGGCGGGGUAAAGGCCCACCAAGGCGACGAUCCGUAGCUGGUCUGAGAGGAUGAUCAGCCACACUGGAACUGAGACACGGUCCAGACUCCUACGGGAGGCAGCAGUGGGGAAUAUUGGACAAAGGGCGCAAGCCUGAUCCAGGCAUACCGCGUGGGUGAAGAAGGCCUUCGGGUUGUAAAGCCCUUUUGUUGGGAAAGAAAAGCAGCAGGUUAAUACCCCGCUGUUCUGACGGUACCCAAAGAAUAAGCACCGGCUAACUUCGUG
rnacentral:rRNA from 1 species